rnacentral:rRNA from 1 species
ACAAUGGUCGGUACAAAGGGUUGCUACACAGCGAUGUGAUGCUAAUCUCAAAAAGCCGAUCGUAGUCCGGAUUGGAGUCUGCAACUCGACUCCAUGAAGUCGGAAUCGCUAGUAAUCGCGGAUCAGAAUGCCGCGGUGAAUACGUUCCCGGGCCUUGUACACACCGCCCGUCACACCAUGGGAGUUUGUUGCACCAGAAGUAGCUAGCCUAACUGCAAAGAGGGCGGUUACCACGGUGUGGCCGAUGACUGGGGUGAAGUCGUAACAAGGUAGCCGUAGGGGAACCUGCGGCUGGAUCACCUCCUUA